rnacentral:rRNA from 1 species
CCUACGGGUGGCAGCAGUGGGGAAUAUUGCACAAUGGGCGCAAGCCUGAUGCAGCCAUGCCGCGUGUGUGAAGAAGGCCUUCGGGUUGUAAAGCACUUUCAGCGGGGAGGAAGGCGGUGAGGUUAAUAACCUCAUCGAUUGGCGUUACCCGCAGAAGAAGCACCGGCUAACUCCGUGCCAGCAGCCGCGGUAAUACGGAGGGUGCAAGCGUUAAUCGGAAUUACUGGGCGUAAAGCGCACGCAGGCGGUCUGUCAAGUCGGAUGUGAAAUCCCCGGGCUCAACCUGGGAACUGCAUUCGAAACUGGCAGGCUAGAGUCUUGUAGAGGGGGGUAGAAUUCCAGGUGUAGCGGUGAAAUGCGUAGAGAUCUGGAGGAAUACCGGUGGCGAAGGCGGCCCCCUGGACAAAGACUGACGCUCAGGUGCGAAAGCGUGGGGAGCAAACAGGAUUAGAUACCCUUGUAGUC